rnacentral:rRNA from 1 species
UUUGCCUACGGGGCGCAGCAGUGGGGAAUAUUGCACAAUGGGGGAAACCCUGAUGCAGCGACGCCGCGUGAGUGAGGAAGUAUUUCGGUAUGUAAAGCUCUAUCAGCAGGGAAGAAAAUGACGGUACCUCACUAAGAAGCCCCGGCUAACUACGUGCCAGCAGCCGCGGUAAUACGUAUGGGGCAAGCGUUAUCCGGAUUUACUGGGUGUAAAGGGAGCGUAGACGGCGGAGCAAGUCUUC